GUAGGUGGCAAGCGGUUGUCCGGAAUUAUUGGGGCGUAAAGCGCGCGCAGGCGGUUCGUUUAAGUCUGAUGUGAAAGCCCACGGGCUCAACCGUGGAGGGCAUUGGAAACUGGAGAACUUGAGACAGAAGAGGAAAGCGGAAUUCACGUGUAGCGGUGAAAUGCGUAGAGAUGUGGAGGAACACCAGUGGCGAAGGCGGCUUUCUGGUCUGUAACUGACGCUGAGGCGCGAAAGCGUGGGGAGCAAACAGGAUUAGAUACCCUGGUAGUCCACGCCCGUAAACGAUGAGUGCUAAGUGUUAGGGGGGUUUCCGCCCCUUAGUGCUGCAGCUAACGCAUUAAGCACUCCGCCUGGGGAGUACGGCCGCAAAGGCUG
rnacentral:rRNA from 1 species